UAAAAAUUUAUGAUUUUGAGAAUUUAUUUAUAAUUUAUUUUACAUGUAAAUUUUAGUAUGAAUUUUACAUUAUUUUAAUAAUAAUAAUUUAUUUUACAGUAAUUAAUAUUAAAAAUUUAAGAAAUUAAGAUUUAGUAAUAUUAAAAUUAUUAACAAAUUUUGUGCCAGCAGUUGCGGUUAUACAAAAAUUAAGGUAAAUUUUUUUUAGAUAUAAUAAAUAUGAUAAAUUUUAAAUUAAAUAUUUGAUUAUUAAGUGAAAUUUUAAUUAAAGGAAAAUUUAUAUUUAAAAUAUGAUUUAAUAAAUUUAUAAAAAAACUAGGAUUAGAUACCCUAUUAUUAAAAAUUUAAAUUAUAAUACUAAAAUAGUAGGUAAUUAUUAUUGAAACUUAAAUAAUUUGGCGGUAUUUUAGUUCAUUUAGAGGAAUCUGUUUAAUAAUUGAUAAUCCACGAAUAAAUUUACUUGAUUUAAUAUUUUGUAUAUCGUUGUUAAAAAAAUAUUUUUAAAUAAGAAUAAUAUUUAAAAUUUAAAAAUAAAAAUUAGUUCAGAUCAAGAUGCAGAUAAUAAUUAAGAAUAUAAUGGAUUACAAUAAAUAUAUUUAAAUGAAUUUUUUUUUUGUAAAUAGUAAUUGAAGGUGGAUUUAAAUGUAAUUUUAUUUAAUUUAAUAGAAUGAUUAAAAAUUGAAAUAUGUACAUAUUGCCCGUCACUUUCAUUUUAAAAUUGGAAUAAGUCGUAACAAAGUAGAGGUACUGGAAAGUGUUUCUAGAAAGAC
rnacentral:ncRNA from 1 species